AGACGAACCGGACAAACGUUAUUCGGAAUCAUUGGGCUUAAAGGGUGCGUAGGCGGUGCGGAAAGUUGGGUGUGAAAUCCCUCGGCUCAACCGAGGAACUGCGCUCAAAACUUCCGUGCUAGAGUGAGACAGAGGUGAGCGGAACUGAUGGUGGAGCGGUGAAAUGCGUUGAUGUCAUCAGGAACACCGGUGGCGAAGGCGGCUCACUGGGUCUCUACUGACGCUGAGGCACGAAAGCUAAGGUAGCGAACAGGAUUAGAAACCCUAGUAGUCC
rnacentral:rRNA from 1 species